GUGCUCACUUUAGCAGCACAUAAACUAAAACUGGACUGAUACAGAGAGGACUAACAUGGCCCCGGUGCAAGGAUGACAUGCAAAUACUUGAAGUGUUCCAUAUUUUU